UAAGCACUGUUUCUAAGCAAAGGUGGGUUACUGUUCAUAAGCACUGUUCCUAAGCAACUCUCUUAUGAACAGUGUACUUCCGCUUUUGCCCCCGCUGGCUGACCGGGAUUUUACUCUAUUCCCCUGCCACCUGUUGAUAUGCUGAGCUGACAAAUGGUAGAGUUGUUUCAUGCCCUUCUUUCUCUAAGCAAAAGAGAGAGCUUAUUUGCCUCGCAAAAAGAGGGGGAGAGAAUUGGGUCAUGUUCGUCGAGGAGAGAUACAGUACAACUCACUUCGAUUUAAGAGGUGUUUACUGGAUUUUUUUUUUUUCAAAAAAUUUCUUCAAAAUCACACUAAAUCUUUUUAUGUCUGAUUUGGGGUUUGGGUUAAGAUUAUUUAUGAUUUUGAAAGGCUGGUGAUGGGUUUCUCAGUUAAGGAAGAAGAACACGAAUCUUGGGUAUUCGAUUUUCAAAUUUUUUUUUGUUCAGUUUUUAUGGUUUAAUCAGUGAUAUUUUUUUUUCAUGUCCUGAGGUAUUUCCGAGCCGGUAUAGGAAAAGAGGCUUUUACCCCUAUUUCCUCUUAUUUUACGACGCUGCCACUGACCUGGUAUAAGAACCUAUCGAUCAGCCACAGCGGUUCUUUUCUCUUUCCGCUCUCUUCUCCCCCUUCAGAAAGUGAUAGCCGCGGAUUGCGACAGAGAGAGAGGUAUUCUGUGUCUUCUGGGUCCCUUCACUAAUCUGCGAGAGAGAGAGAGCGAGGGAGUGAAGGCUGAUCCGAAAGAGAGGAAGAACAGGGAACGGGAAGAGGAAGAAGAAUUUGAUGCACCAAGUUGUGUUCCUGAUUGAAGGUUUGGUUUGCCAUGCAUGCUGGGUAUAUGCGGGAAUUGAAUUUCAGAAUUUGUUUUUUCUUUUUCUCUGUUUGAGUUGAAAGCUCUGUGGGUUUUGAAGUAGUGGGUAGCUGAGAUUUAAGAGCAUCUGAGAUGAAGUCCAUGAAGGUAGAUGGCUGUAGGAAAUGUUUUUGAUGGCUCGGUUUCGACGGAUUUUCCGUUUUAUAACUUUCAAUUUAUCUCCUGUAUUUGUAGCUUGAGUUUCCAAUAAAUUAGUAGAGCUGUCUUUUUUUUAUUAGAAAUUGCUUUUUGAAACUUGAUCAAAAUUGUAGAGCCAGAGGAUGUAGUUUAAGUUGAUGAAUGACUAAUUGGCCAGUAGAUGUACUGAUUGUAUUAUUGAUGUCCUGUUUUAUAGUUCGAUGAAAACCCCCUAUGCAAUUUUAAAAUUGCCCAUGAUUCAUGAGUGCUUAAAAUUUGGGGCUAAAUACAUUACAAGUUGCUUAAACUGUGAAGGUUAGCAUGUAUGAUUCCAUAGUCGAUAAUGUUUUUUUCUCUCAGUGUUGGGUUUCAUACUUGGAACAUUUGAAUGAUUGGGUUUUAGUCCAAGUUAUUCUGUGCAUCAAGUAUGGCAGAGUGCCGAAACUAUUCUUAUUCACUCCGGUCUCACAUGUCAACAGGGCUAAAAUCACAAUCUUGGUCCUGCGCUCGCAUUACCUACUGACUGGUGUUGCAGACUAGUAAGUGCAAUGGAUCCUGGAAACCUGGGAGAGAUAUUGAAGCACUUGGAGACGCAGAAUGAGCUCCUUACGAAAGCGUCUGAAUCAGUGCUACAAGAACUGUCUAAUCUUCAGGGAGAAGAAGAAAUGAUGAUGCGCAAGUACUACGCUAUUAUGUCGGAGCAUGGUAAAGUUAAAAAGGUUCAAGAACUUCAUGAAUUUUGGCAGAAGCAUGGCCAUGGAAAAGUUUCAACUGAUACUGAAAUCGGAAGCUCUACUGCAUUAGUCACUGCUACUAGCAAAGAAGAAAACUGAUGAUUUCCAAGUGUUGUCUUCACAUUGUUAAGUGACCUGUAAAUACAAUAUUGGCACAUUGUACCUCCUUUUUAUACUCGAGAGAAAUUUUUGAUGGAAGUAUAACACGAAGUUGAUGAACUGUUGAGUAGACAAUGCUGCAUCGAAGCCUCAUCAGUCGUCAUGAUCCAACAAACACUGCUUGUUUGAAAUCUUGAUUGUAUGAGACUUAUGAUAUUGUAAGAGAGGAACAUCUUCCUGACAUUCCACAACAGAUUUAUCAGACUCAGUUGUCUGUAUAACUGCAGGUUUAUCCCUCAGUUUCAUAUUGAAAUCUUUCCAAAUUAAGUUC